UGGGGAAUUUUGGACAAUGGGCGAAAGCCUGAUCCAGCAAUGCCGCGUGUGUGAAGAAGGCCUUCGGGCUGUAAAGCACUUUUGUCCGGAAAGAAAUCCUCUGGGUUAAUACCUCGGGGGGAUGACGGUACCGGAAGAAUAAGCACCGGCUAACUACGUGCCAGCAGCCGCGGUAAUACGUAGGGUGCAAGCGUUAAUCGGAAUUACUGGGCGUAAAGCGUGCGCAGGCGGUUUUGUAAGACGGAUGUGAAAUCCCCGGGCUUAACCUGGGAACUGCAUUCGUGACUGCAAGGCUAGAGUAUGGCAGAGGGGGGUAGAAUUCCACGUGUAGCAGUGAAAUGCGUAGAGAUGUGGAGGAAUACCGAUGGCGAAGGCAGCCCCCUGGGCCAAUACUGACGCUCAUGCACGAAAGCGUGGGGAGCAAAC
rnacentral:rRNA from 1 species